AUGGAGAUCCUCCCUUCUACAGCUGUCCUGAGCAUGGAACUAAGUGACGGUAAGUUUCCUCCUCCACUUAGAAUCCCACCCCCUCCCCCAAUUCUUUGCAGGAUAACUCCGGCAGAAAGCCUGGUCUCUCCAGCCCUCUCUGUAAGCAUGAGGAGCCACACAUUCCAUCUCUACCUGUGUCCAGAAAGAGGUUUCCCAGGGAAAGUGUGGAGACAUAGACUGUUUCCAGGCAGCAGUGGAUGCAGGAGGAAGGUGAUAAAGCUGCUCAGGGCCAUGGACAUCAAGGAUGGCAGCUGGGCAGCUGUGCCAGCCUAUGCUCCCUGGGAUCUCUGCUUCCACCUGGGAGCCCAGGGCUUGGAGAGUGACCUACCACCAGCUGUCUGCAGUUUUGACUCCAUCAAGGUCCUGUCCACCUACCAGAUACUCAUGCUGUGGCUCUUGAAUCAGAUCACCUGGGUUAGAACCCUGGCUCCAUCACUUACCCUGCGAGUCUCUCGAGACAAGGCUGGUUCAAUCUGGAUUCAGGCAAUCUGAAGAAGAGCAGAGGCACCUUGGGUAUGUCAGACAUCCCCUUAAUGGCUUCACAAAUGAUGGUGGUGCAGAAAGUCCUGUCCGCCUUUUAUACUGGUACAGAACAAAGCCUGCAAUUUGCCAAGGCGUUACAUAAGGGGUGGUGGUCAUUGAAUUCUACUGCACAUUCACAGGCAUAGUUAUGAUUAGAUAACAGUCCUUCCUGGAACAACAUGGCGGCUAGGCUGAGUAACUAGGCUGAGACUGAGUUACUCCAUUUUCCACACACAUAUAAAUAUAUCCAUUCUUUUUCCCAAUAUAGGUUAUUUAUUUAUUUAUUUAUUAAAUUUUGUCUUUUUAGGCUGCACCUGCGGCAUAUGGAGUUUCCCAGGCUAGGGGUCGAAUCAGAGCUACAGUUGCUGGCCUAUACCACAGCCACAGCAAUGCCAGAUCCAAGCCACAUCUGUGACCAACACCACAUUUCAGAGCAACACUGGUUCUUUAACUCACUGAGCAAGCCAGGGAUCGAACCAGCAACCUCAUGGUUCCUAGUCGGAUUCGUUUCUGCUGCGCCACAACAGGCACUCCCCCAUAUAGGUUAUUUAAUGUGUAUCUUUUGGUUUGCAUGUGUCUGCAAAUCUGUCUUGUGUGCAAGCAUCUGAAUUGGUUUUGUUUUUUAGGUCUCACUUGGUUGUUUCACAUUUUCCCCUCAGCACUUGGUGUUUCUAUCCAAGUUGCAGUGAAUACACCUGGUCCCUUGCAUUUAUAGUUGCAAGGUAGUACCAUAUUUUACCCAUCCAUCCACUCUCCUAUGUGGGCACUUAGGUUGCUUCCAAUCCCCAGCAACUACAAAAUAUCAACCCAGCAACAACAUCCUCUUAUGUGUUCCUUUUUGAGCCUGUAAGAGUUAGUUCACACGUAUUUAAUUCCCUCAUUACUGCCAGAUUGUUUUCCAGAAUGGCUGCCCGACUUUACUCCCAUCAGCAGGGCACCUGGCCUAUGACACUCCUCAUUCCUCACCACC
rnacentral:lncRNA from 1 species